rnacentral:sRNA from 1 species
UCUUCUUCCCUUAUGACUUUAAUUUGGUAUCCAUUUUGUAAUCCCUGGUCUUACUCUCAGGACAAGCCAGCAUUGUUCAGAAGAUUCUACAAAUGGUUGAAGCCGGGAGGGAAAGUUCUCAUCACUGAUUACUGCAGAAGCCCCAAAACCCCAUCUCCAGACUUUGCAAUCUACAUCAAGAAACGAGGUUAUGAUCUUCAUGAUGUACAAGCAUACGGUCAGGUAUACAGAGAUAGAACCCGUCUCCUCCUAUACUUAUUUAAAAAUCACCAAAAGUCAUCUAAACUCAUAUGAUUCAACAGAUGCUGAGAGAUGCUGGUUUCGAGGAGGUAAUCGCGGAGGAUAGAACCGAUCAGGUAAGAAACGAUUUUCUUUCGAGAAUGACUCAUAUGCUUUAAAAAAGAUGUUGAAACCAAUUUGCUGUUUGCCUUUUAAUCAUCAGUUCAUGAAAGUCCUGAAACGGGAACUGGAUGCAGUGGAGAAGGAGAAGGAAGAAUUCAUCAGUGACUUCUCGAAAGAGGAUUACGAGGAUAUUAUAGGCGGGUGGAAGUCAAAGCUACUUAGGAGCUCAAGUGGUGAGCAGAAGUGGGGUUUGUUCAUCGCCAAGAGAAACUGAUUAUGGCAUUUACUAUAAGUUGGAAAUAAAUUUGGGUAUGUAUGUAGAUCAUCAAAACCCAGUACCCUGCUAUUAUCUCUACAAGCUAUAUAUAUGUGGCUGUGAGGUUCCUUUAAUGUCUCCAUUUUACAGCAUAUCCAGUUUGGUAUUUAAUAUAUGUGAUAUUUUGAAAUCGGUUUGAU